UACGUAGGUGGCAAGCGUUGUCUGGAUUUACUGGGCGUAAAGGAUGCGUAGGCGGAUGUUUAAGUGAGAUGUGAAAUACCCGAGCUCAACUUGGGUGCUGCAUUUCAAACUGGAUAUCUAGAGUGCAGGAGAGGAAAGCGGAAUUCCUAGUGUAGCGGUGAAAUGCGUAGAGAUUAGGAAGAACACCAGUGGCGAAGGCGGCUUUCUGGACUGUAACUGACGCUGAGGCAUGAAAGCGUGGGGAGCAAACAGG
rnacentral:rRNA from 1 species